GGUCCCUGCCCUUGGGGCUCCGUGUCCUGCGGGAUUGGCCUCGGCCGCCUGUGGCCGCGCGACCCUCGGUGCUGUUGCUGCCGGUGAGGCGGGAAAGCACUGCGGCCGACACGCGCCGUGACCACUGUCAGACCACGGAAUGAUGUGGUCCACAAGCAGCUCUCAGCUUUUGGAGAGUAUGUGGCUGAAAUCCUGCCCAAGUAUGUCCAACAAGUUCAGGUGUCCUGCUUCAAUGAGUUAGAGAUCUGUAUCCAUCCUGA